rnacentral:rRNA from 1 species
GAUCAUUACAGAGUUCGUGCCCUCACGGGUAGACCUCCCACCCUUGUGUAUCAAUACUAUGUUGCUUUGGCGGGCCGUCAGGCUCCGGUUAGGCCCUCGGCUCAGGCUGGGGAGCGCCCGCCAGAGGACCCCAAAACUCUGAAUGUUAGUGUCGUCUGAGUACUAUACAAUAGUUAAAACUUUCAACAACGGAUCUCUUGGUUCUGGCAUCGAUGAAGAACGCAGCGAAAUGCGAUAAGUAAUGUGAAUUGCAGAAUUCAGUGAAUCAUCGAAUCUUUGAACGCACAUUGCGCCCCUUGGUAUUCCGGGGGGCAUGCCUGUUCGAGCGUCAUUUCAACCCUCAAGCACAGCUUGGUGUUGGGCCCUGCCAGCGAUGGCAGGCCCUAAAAUUAGUGGCGGUGCCGCUGAGCCCUGAGCGUAGUAAUUCUCCUCGCUACAGGGCCUCUGCGUGCCCCCGCCAGAACCCCCCAAUUUUCUAUGGUUGACCUCGGAUCAGGUAGGGAUACCCGCUGAACUUAAGCAUAUCAAUAAGCGGAGGAAAAGAAACCAACAGGGAUUGCCUCAGUAACGGCGAGUGAAGCGGCAUAAGCUCAAAUUUGAAAUCUGGCUCUUUCAGGGUCCGAGUUGUAAUUUGUAGAAGAUGCUUCGGGUGUGGUCCCGGUCUAAGUUCCUUGGAACAGGACGUCAUAGAGGGUGAGAAUCCCGUAUGUGACUGGGUGCCUAUGCUCAUGUGAAGCUCUUUCGACGAGUCGAGUUGUUUGGGAAUGCAGCUCAAAAUGGGUGGUAUAUUUCAUCUAAAGCUAAAUAUUGGCCAGAGACCGAUAGCGCACAAGUAGAGUGAUCGAAAGAUGAAAAGCACUUUGGAAAGAGAGUUAAACAGUACGUGAAAUUGUUGAAAGGGAAGCGCUUGCAAUCAGACUUGCGCCUGGUUGAUCAUCCGGGGUUCUCUCCGGUGCACUCGAUCAGGCUCAGGCCAGCAUCGGUUUGGGUGGUUGGAUAAAGGCCUUGGGAAUGUGGCCCCCCUCGGGGGGUGUUAUAGCCCUCGGUGCCAUGCAGCCUACCUGGACCGAGGACCGCGCU